rnacentral:tRNA from 1 species
UGCGGGGGUUGCCAAGCCAGGUCAACGGCGCAGGAUUUAAGCUCCUGUUGUGAAGACAUUCAAGGGUUCGAAUCCCUUCCCCCGCAU